GAUAGGUGGGGGCCGAAGCACUUUACUGUGGGGGGGGGGUGAGGAUGGUAAGGGGACUUUAAAUUAUUCACUUAAAUAAAAAUGAGGGAGGGGAGGGGGAGAGCACCCCCCAGCCCCUGUUCCCUCUGUCCGUCUGUCCCUCGGCUGUCGGUCCAGGCAGCGGCUACACAGGCAUGGGCAUCUCAUUGUACUCGUCCACACCCUCCCGCUCAUCGAACACUGGCUCCGCCUCAUUAGCAUCCAGCUGUGGGGGUGGAGGGAAUCAAGAAGGUGGAUCCUGACCUCAAGCUGGAAGGGGACGACCCCAGAGGGCGCCGGCGGGGCUGGUGGGGAGGGGCAGGAGGCCUUACACAUUUCAUCUCUCGCUCGGUGAAGAUUCGGGUGAGCACCACCAUGCGGAGCGGCACUGUGAGGAUGAGGAUGAAGGGGAAGGCCAGGGAGGCGGCUGUGGACAUGACCGCCCAGAGCAAGGCCAAGCAGAGCAGCUGCAGGGCUGUGAACAGGUGCAUACGGAGGGUCCGAACCUGGGGGUGAGGCGGGAGGAGACACGUGAGCCCAGGCUUCUCCCCGGCCUCGGAGGGCCACCCGGCCCGCCACAUUCAGGAGGCCCGCCGCAUUCUUCCCUGCACAGGGGUGGGGAUGGAAGUGCCUUCCUGGGUGCUUACCAGAGCUGCGUCUGUGCAGACUCAAUGGCGGCUGGCCCAAGUGGGCAGGUGGGGUGCCGGAGGGUAUGACCCCCCCCCCCCCCCCCCCCGCCCACGGACGCGGAGGAGCAGAGGCACGGGGCUCUUCAAAGCGGGCUCUUACCUUCUUGACGUAGGUCACAUCUGGGUGGUGUUUGGGGGGCAUGAGCAGCAGGUGCAGCCGCUCGUAGAACUGGAUCCCGUUAAGGGAGGUAACUCCCAUGUACAGAAAAAUUCCAAAGAGCACAGCCAAGGGGAUCUGCCGGAGCAGGUCCCCAAUAACCAAGGAGAGGCCUGGCGGGGGGGCGGAGAGGGAGGAACGGCUGGCACCAGGGCUCCCCAUUCUCAGAGACCCGUCUGGGAAGGGCGGGGGCAAGAGGUGGACGUACCCACAAGCAGGGCGACCAGCAGCCCUGUUACCCGCUGCUCCUUGACCUCCUGGAUCUUGGGCUUGUCCCCAGGCGCCACGGCCUUGCUCAUGACGGUGAGCGCGUUGGCGUGGGUGACGGAGCGGACAGUGGCGGCAGCCAGCCAGGGCAGGCCGAAGAGGGCACAGAUGCCUCCCAUGGCCACGAUAAGCAGCAGGUCCAGGUGGAAGCCGGAGCCCUUCUGCAGCAUCCGCUCCUUCUUGGAGAUGAUCAGCCUGAGUGGGGACAGGCACCCACUGACGCCCUGGAACCGGCUUGGCACAGAGCUGUGUCUUUCCAGAGCAUCCAGCCAGUAGCCUCUGUCUGUUUUUGGAAGCUGGUGGUCCCUGCCCAUCCCGUCAGGAUAAGACCUCUGUCACGGCUGAGCCUUCCCCAGGCCACCCUCCCUGCCCUUCAGGACAGCUUCCGGUCCGUACCGCGCCCAUCCCGGCAAACGUCAGUGGAACUUUCUAUUGUCUACAAAGUAAACUCUAGGGGCCAGCCAGGCAUCCUGGGCUCCCCCCACCCAGUGCACCCAUUAUCUCCCAGGCCGGCUGGGGUUCCCUUCCGUGAAUGAUGUGGUUCCUGUCCACAGGGCGCCCUCCUGGCUGGGACCACUCACGUGGUGAUCUGAGUCUCCAUGAAAAUGAGGAUGAAGACCAAGAUGGCGGGCAGCAGGCUGGCAACCAUCAUCCACACGGGGAAGGAGCUGUUCUCCCCCA
rnacentral:lncRNA from 1 species